GAGGCCACCCCAGACAUUUCCAGAGGACCAGAUGGUUCAUUCAAUAAAACGGGGGCCUCUACUAGGGGUCCAGUCCUAUUUCUUAGCUGCCCAUUUCCAACUUUCUCACUUGUGCACUUCUAGGAAGCCAGUGAGAAACCGUCUAUGGCCAUGUUAAGGGAGAAGGAGAAUGUAUUUCUGGUUUUGCCAUUGUUCUCACAGGUAUUUAAAAAACCCUAGGCCUGAUGCCCCUGUCAGAAAGCACACACUCCGACAUCUCUCACAAGUGCUGCGGGGAGGAGGUGUGAUGCCCAACAACAACCCCACAGGAGACGUGAUCCUCUGGAAGCUUCCAGACACUGUGCUCUUCACUGGGCUCAGGUGCUGAGUGUCAAGCAGAUACACUUGGCAGGUCAUUCGGAACCAUGUUAGGUUAUUCAGAGGAACAAAAGCACAACAAACUGCCUGGAACCCUUGAUGUCUGGGAGAAGCUCACUGUCUGCACCAGCUAGCAGCUGUCCUGCCACAUUCUUGUCUGCCUGAAAGAAAAGAAAGGAAGAAUGCAUGACUCCAAACGAAUGGCCUAGAAUUGGAGGCUGCUUGGCAGUAUAAGAAACGCAGAGAAAAAGAGGACUAAGAUGCACAGGGGAUUGAGGGGGAUUACACGCAGCUUCCACGAAAUGUCUUGUGCUCCUCUCUGGGAAAGGAACUGUAAAUGUCAAGUCUCCCUGACAUCAGUCUCCCUGACAACAACUUACACAGGUAAUAUACAUUAUUUGAAGAAACCAAUUGUAAUGCAAUUCAACACAGUACCACUGAUCAAAUUACUCCUUCCAAAGACAGCAGCUGGGAAUAUUUACUAUGGAAAUAUCUGUCUUUAGAAUGAUUUCUAAAAUCAAAUUGCUGUAAACAUAACCAAGAAUUAUGAAGACUGUGUCUGUCAGGAACACCUCUUGAGGUAGGAAAAGACAGUUUUCCAAAUAAGAGAAUCUUAGGCCUUUUUUCACGCUAAACUAUACUUUAAUUGUGU
rnacentral:lncRNA from 1 species